rnacentral:tRNA from 1 species
GGAGCCGUGGUGUAGCCUGGCCUAACACAUCAGACUGUCACUCUGAAGAUCGCGGGUUCAAAUCCCGUCGGCUCCGCCA